rnacentral:lncRNA from 1 species
UAAAAGUCCAAAUAAAAUAACUAUGGGCUGAUGGAACACCUGGAUUAAGCAUCAGUUCUUUUUAAAAAGGCUAUCUUGAAGGUAAAUCUUGAACUUCAGCUUUAGAGGAACUGAGGUUACUUUGUUGAGCAGUGAAGGAAUUGCAGCAUGUGAAAUUCCUUAAAUGAAAAUUUAUUGACUUUAAAUAAUUUUGCCUACUGUUAUGCAUUUAAAUUUUUUAAAAUCCUUUACGUUGUGGGGCUGGGGCUCUAGCUCCAGUAGUAGAGCACUCACCUAGCACAUGUGAAAUACUGGGUUCGAUUUUAAAAUUUAAAAAUAUAAAAAUAAAUAAAUAAACUAAAUGUAUUGUGUACAACUAUAAAAAAAAUUUAAAAACCCUUCACAUUGUUCAAUAAAGAAAGAGAAGCUUGAAAAUUUGAGCAGGGAAUAAGAGACUGAUGAAAGGCCAAGUAUAUCUGAAGAAGAACAAAUAGAAUGUCUGUCUAGAAAUUUAAACUAUCAAAACUAAGUCUUGGGCUGGGGAUGUGGCUCAAGCGGUAGCGUGCUCGCCUGGCAUGCGUGCGGCCCGGGUUCGAUCCUUAGCACCACAUACAAACAAAGAUGUUGUGUCCGCCGAAAACUAAAAAAUAAAUAUUAAAAAAUUCUCUCUCUCUUUCUCUCUUUAAAAAAAAAAAAAAAAAACUAAGUCUACCACUAGUUUAUGGUGGCACAUGUCUGUAAUCCCAGUGGCUCAGGAGGCUGAGGCAGGAGAAUCGAGAGUUCAAAGCCAGCCUCAGUGCUUCACAUGGUGCAAAUCAGCUCAGAGAGACUCUGUCUCUAAAUAAAAUACAAAAAAAGGUCUGGGGAUAUGGCUCAGUGGUUGAGUACCCCUGGAUUCACUCCUUAGUACCAAAACAAACAAACAAAAAAUCCCUAAGUCUACCAAUAUAAUAACUGGGUUUAAAAGAUGAUUAGAUACAAUUGAGUAUAUCAGACAGUAUAAU